rnacentral:sRNA from 2 species
AGUCGGUUCAAGUCCUGAUAGGAUUCAUUUAUUGAAGAUGCCUUGUAACCGAAUAGCUUUUAGCCUAUAUAGGGGGACUAUUUAUG